rnacentral:rRNA from 1 species
CCUACGGGGGGCUGCAGUGGGGAAUUUUGGACAAUGGACGCAAGUCUGAUCCAGCCAUGCCGCGUGCGGGAAGAAGGCCUUCGGGUUGUAAACCGCUUUUGUCAGGGAAGAAAAGGUUCUGGCUAAUACCUGGGACUCAUGACGGUACCUGAAGAAUAAGCACCGGCUAACUACGUGCCAGCAGCCGCGGUAAUACGUAGGGUGCAUGCGUUAAUCAGAAUUACUGGGCGUAAAGCGUGAAGAGGCGGUUGAAAUCCCCGGGCUCAACCUGGGAACUGCCUUUGUGACUGCAUAGCUAGAGUACGGUAGAGGGGGAUGGAAUUCCGCGUGUAGCAGUGAAAUGCGUAGAUAUGCGGAGGAACACCGAUGGCGAAGGCAAUCCCCUGGACCUGUACUGACGCUCAUGCACGAAAGCGUGGGGAGCAAACAGGAUUAGAUACCCCAGUAGUC